rnacentral:rRNA from 1 species
GAUGAACGCUGGCGGCGUGCCUAAUACAUGCAAGUCGAGCGAAUGGAUUAAGAGCUUGCUCUUAUGAAGUUAGCGGCGGACGGGUGAGUAACACGUGGGAACCUGCCCAUAAGACUGGGAUAGCUCCGGGAAACCGGGGCUAAUACCGGAUAACAUUUUGAACCGCAUGGUUCGAAAUUGAAAGGCGGCUUCGGCUGUCACUUAUGGAUGGACCCGCGUCGCAUUAGCUAGUUGGUGAGGUAACGGCUCACCAAGGCAACGAUGCGUAGCCGACCUGAGAGGGUGAGCGGCCACACUGGGACUGAGACACGGCCCAGACUCCUACGGGAGGCAGCAGUAGGGAAUCUUCCGCAAUGGACGAAAGUCUGACGGAGCAACGCCGCGGGAGUGAUGAAGGCGUUCGGGUCGUAAAACUCUGUUGUUAGGGAAGAACAAGUGCUAGUUGAAUAAGCUGGCACCUUGACGGUACCUAACCAGAAAGCCACGGCUAACUACGUGCCAGCCGCCGCAGUAA